rnacentral:rRNA from 1 species
UACAGGGGGGGCAAGCGUUGUUCGGAAUUACUGGGCGUAAAGGGCUCGUAGGCGGCCAACUAAGUCCGACGUGAAAUCCCAAGGCUUAACUUUGGAACUGCGUCGGAUACUGGAUGGCUUGAAUUCGGGAGAGGGAUGCAGAAUUCCAGGUGUAGCGGUGAAAUGCGUAGAUAUCUGGAGGAAUACCGGUGGCGAAGGCGGCAUCCUGGACCGACAUUGACGCUGAGACGCGAAAGCGUGGGGAGCAAACAGG